rnacentral:lncRNA from 1 species
UAGAGAUAAGAGUUCCAGUAUCCUCCAGGGAGGAUGAGUUGGGGAGAAGAUCUGAUGUACAUCUGUUGUACGGCCUUUCUGGCAAAGCCUCUCUCUUCAGCCCGUGCCUCACCACAGCCUUUAGCAGUUCCGACGUCCCUAGGUAUUUAUGAUGAAGAAUUCUUUCUAACACAAGAAUUUAGCCUCCCUGUAAGAUGAGAGUCUUUAUUCAUCGAACUUUGAGAAAAUGGUUCAUUCCUCAUACAGAGCUAACAAAGGAGAGUUCAUACUUUGAAAACACAAAAAAAAGACAAGAAAAUAAAACAAGAUUUCCAAGAUCAAUGAUGACUGCAUGUUUAUGCAAAGUGUCUCCGUAAAGAAAUGAGACUAAUUUUCUUCUUGAAUAACUUGUGAAGACAGAAGAGCAAUCACAUUGCAGCAAGAAUCUAUGGCAGC